CUAGGCGUGGAUGAAACCAGGAAGGAGGGGCGUUUGAAGAAACCUGAGAGAUAAAAAAAAGAAGCUUUGGACAGAGACGAACGCACGGACGCAAGGGAGUUCUUUUGGGCUCUCUGUCCACUUUUGCUCUCUUCUUAAGGUAAAACUGCGUGAACAAAGAAUGAACAGAAAACUCAGUUACAGAGGACAAAAGGUAAGAGAUGUGAAAAAUCAGUCGGGCAGCACACGGGACGCACGAAGUAGACAACACAGAAGUCAGGGGCAAAAGAGUAAUAACAGUCUCUCAGACAGGGGCAAAAUAGUCUAGAUGGUAGAUACAUUGCUUAUUCUCUAUCUAUUAUAGUCUGGUUGAGGGGAAAAAUAGGAGAGAUAAAUGGUAGCACUUUUAUUUCUCUCCCUCAUGAUCAGUCAUCAAUUAUAGAUAAAUGGUAGUGUAUAUAAUAUUUUGAUUUACUGAUCUCCUCUUAAUUAUAAUCCAUAUUAUACUCCAUUAAUCUA